rnacentral:rRNA from 1 species
UACAGAGGGGGCAAGCGUUAUUCGGAAUUAUUGGGCGUAAAGGGCGCGUAGGCGGGCAUCCAAGUCUGUGGUGAAAUCCGGCAGCUUAACUGUCGAACUGCCGUGGAUACUGGGUGUCUCGAGGGAGGUAGGGGCGUGCGGAACUAUUGGUGGAGCGGUGAAAUGCGUUGAUAUCAAUAGGAACUCCGGUGGCGAAGGCGGCACGCUGGACCUCUUCUGACGCUGAGGCGCGAAAGCCAGGGGAGCAAACGGG